CUCUUUCUUUUGGCUACUUGAAUGCACAAUUCACGGAAAUAAUAUUGAUUUUCCUUUUGGCAUAUUUUCUAACCAAACAUGUCCCUCUACCUGUCUUACCUUGUUUCUGUUGUGAUCACAUGGAUGCUCAUUUUGUUUGCUUUUGUAAUAUGCUACCACAAUUUUUUUUUUUUUUUUGAGGGAGAAGAAGGCAGGGUGUGAUUUAUAAAUUAAGUAAAUGAAAGUAUGAGGCCCUGCGGACCAACGUAACUCUGUCAUCAGUACUGGAAAUGAUCUUGCAAAGCAUGUGUCUUUUUCGCUGAAGUCAGCAGUUCUGUUUUGACACAGAAGGACAGAAUAACCCCCUGAGGAAGUCUGUUCUUCAAUUCCUGCACAAGCAGUUUAAGGGCUGGCAUUUGUUUGUUUAGCCUGGGCUGCCUUCUACUUUCUUUAACGGUGAGCCUCCUGUGAGCUGCAGCUUCCUGAUUUUCCAGCUGCAGUGUGUGGAGCUACAUCAUGGACUUUCUGCCUGACUUUGCUGGCCUUGUACAGACUCUUCAGUCACCUCCUGCCCUGAGGUAGGGAGAGCGGAGCCAGGUUCUUGUGAAUGAAAAGGAAGGAGUCAUCACAGGGCACACACCUCACUGCACCUCUUCUCGACCAGCUUCCCAGUGAGUCAACAGAGAGAAAGUAAUGAUGAAUCUUCAGAGGCCAAAAACCAGGAGAAAGUGGGAACCCAGAGAAGUCAGGCAACAUUUGAGUUCAUAAUGGCUGAGAAUUUUCCAGAAUAGAUAAACGACAUCUACUCUCAGAUUGAGGCCCCAAACAAGGUCAAUGAAAGGAAACCUACAUCUAGACACAUUGUGCUGAAUACCAUCAUCAGCACUUGACAUUGGUUUCCAACCCCCUUCUGUGGUUUGGUUGGGUUUGGAUUGGUUGGUAAUCUGAAGAACUAUAGACCACAUUUCCCAGACUCUUUCUCAGCUGAGGUCCUGGAUAUGACUGAGCUUCUGCCUGGGCUCUCCUGUGAAACUUGGAAGGCAGAAGGGAGGCAAGGCCAUCUUCCUGCGGCAGCUCUGUCUGGGGAGUAUGGUCCUGAGACAUGAGUGUUUCAAGACAGUGGUGGCAACUGGACGCAGUGAUCCAGCACCCGACAGGCCCCAGCGUUGUGGGGAUAUAAGCACUGAGGCGUUUGGGAUGAUGGACACAGCAUUCCUCUGUUUGGUCACCCACCUGGUGGAGCUUCCUGACUUCUCACUGCAGCUACAGCGGUGAGUCCCAGUCCCAGGAGUAAGGACAGCCCCCGCCUCCCACCGUGUUAAAUGGUGUUCAACUGUUCCCUGUGUUAAAUCUCACUCUCCUCACUCCCAACUCUGAGGAGCACAGUAGGGGCCUCUCAUGAUCCAGACCAUCAACUACCGGAGAAGAAAUGGAAAAGAUAACAGAACAUCAUCACUCCCCAAUGUGUGGGGUUCACCCUGAGGGGCCGUUGCCAUUCCUUCUCUCUCUUUGUCUUUGUCUCAGGUGGAGCCCCUUAUUCUCGGUGCCUGCCUGAGAAGGGUCCCUAAUUGGCAAAAAGGCUGGAAGCUCUGCUUUGGCCUUCUGAUUACCUGUGUCAUCUGCCCUGCAAUGCUGAGACUCUGCCACCGUCCCCUUGGACAGGUUUCCUCCCUCUUGGUUCAGGGAACCCUUGCUAACAGUCUCUUCCACGUUGUUUUUUCUGCUUUUCUUCCUUUUUCUUCUUCCUUUUCUUCCAUUUUCUUUCCUUGAUAAAAUCUGCAGUCUUCUAAGUGUAAUUAUAGCUCUUGGGGUUGUUGGUUCUGCUUUUAACAUUUUUUUCUUUUUUAAAAAUUUAUUUAUUUAUUUUUGGCUGCGUCGGGUCUUAGUUGCAGCACAUGGGAUCUUCAUUGAGGCAUGCAGGAUCUUUCGUUGUGGCACGUGGGCUCUUCGUUGCAGCACGCAGGCUUGUCUCCAGUUGUGACCUGUGGGUUUUUUCUCUUCUCUACUUGUGGCUUGCAGGCUCUAGGGCACAUGGGCUCUGUAGUUCUGGCGUGCGGGUUCCAGA